rnacentral:tRNA from 1 species
GCCCUGGUGGCUCAGCGGUUAAGAGCUUAGCUGCUAACCAAAAGGUUGGUAGUUCAAAUCUAUUCGACGGCC